AAUCAACGCUGGCGGCGUGCCUCAGACAUGCAAGUCGAACGCGAAAUUUCCCUUCGGGGAGAAAGUAGAGUGGCGCACGGGUGAGUAACACGUAGGUAAUUUGCCUUUGGGUGGGGAAUAACUCAGGGAAACUUGAGCUAAUACCGCAUAAUGCAGCGGCUCGACAUCGAGACAGUUGUUAAAGCGGGGGAUCGCAAGACCUCGCGCCUAAAGAGAAGCCUGCGGCAGUAUAGCUAGUUGGUAGGGUAAUGGCCUACCAAGGCAACGAUCUGUAACCGGCCUGAGAGGGCGGUCGGUCACACUGACACUGACAUACGGGUCAGACUCCUACGGGAGGCAGCAGUCGGGAAUUUUGGGCAAUGGGCGAAAGCCUGACCCAGCAACGCCGCGUGAAGGAUGAAAUCCCUCGGGAUGUAAACUUCGCAAGAACGGGAAGAAUAAGUAGAAGAUAAUACCUUCUAUGAUGACGGUACCG
rnacentral:rRNA from 1 species